UCCGUAGGCGGGCGUCUAAGUCAGUGGUGAAAUCUUACAGCUCAACUGUAAAAUUGCCAUUGAUACUGGAUGUCUUGAAUUAGUGUGAAGUGGUUAGAAUGUGUAGUGUAGCGGUGAAAUGCAUAGAUAUUACACAGAAUACCAAUUGCGAAGGCAGAUCACUAACACUAUAUUGACGCUGAUGGACGAAAGCGUGGGGAGCGAACAGGAUUAAAUACCCUGGUAGUCC
rnacentral:rRNA from 1 species